AAAAAUCAUAAUUUGUGUUUUACUGAAGAAACAGUCACCUACAUCUUGGAUGCCCUGGGGACUUGGCCUGGCCAUAGUAAAGCAGGAGCGCAAAUGGAGGACAGAAAGUGAUUUUAGGACAGGGGAUGAGGCAGAUGACAAGAGAUCCUCAGGCUAGCACAACAUGGCACUAUAAACAACAGACACUCCCCUACAAUAAUGAAGAAAAUGCAUCUGCUUGUUUUGGAAAACAACAACUGAGAAGUGAAGGAGAAAAAGAGAGUCUGAGGAAAAGAGAUGAGAGCGACAGAAAGAGGACUAGGGAGGAUGGGAGGAAUGGAGCAGAGGAUGUAUCCCAGCAUAGUCGAUCAAAACAAGCCCAGCGGGAGCACUGGAAAACACACCAGAGGCUCAGUAAAGCAAACACAGUACAGGUCAGAAGCCUUCAGAAGUGACCUCACCCUGAAUGAAGCACUGCGCUUAAUAUUUCACCGGAAUCGGAUGAAGGAUUAAGAGAUUACACCAGCUUCAGUUUGGAUCCAGCCUCUUACAAAAAUUCAGAUGACCCAACACCUUUGAAGAGAUGACUCUGAAUCAACAUACACAACUACCAAAUUUUCUAUAUAUUGUAAUCAUUAUGAUCACAACUUGUAAUAACUGCUUUAAUAAGAUCAUUGAUUCUGCCUAAAUGAAUAUGAUGUUCACAAAGUGCAUGAUUUCUAAUAUCUUAGAACUGUACAUUUCUGGAAAUAUGGACAUUACUUGGACACUGUCACCUCUGAUAACAAAUUACUCUACAUUGUAAUGUAGAAACAUGCAUUUUCUGUAAAGCUAUUUUGAAACAAUAUGUAUUGUAAAAGCGCUAUACAAAUAAAUGUGAGUUGAAUUGAUUUGAAUUAGCUUUUUUAAAGAUGCCUUAGAAAAAAAACAUUACUGGUGUGCAUCUUGAGACAAAACUAUGGCACUGACAUAUUUUAAGUCUAGGACUAGACAUAAAAAUAUCCUGUGCAGAUGCUUAAAUAAUACACUGUUUUAUAUAUUUUGCAUUAAUAAAAUAAAGCAGUAAAGAUUCUUGAAGUAGAAAAGAAUUGUUUUAUAGAAUAUUUAUUAUACUAAUAAAAAUUACCCUAUAGGCCAGGGUUUGAAACUAACUUUCAUAUUGUUAUAGUUUUACAUCUAUUUGCUUUAUUUAGUUAAUUUGGUAUCCAAUCCAACAACAAAUGUAUUGCUAGCUGUUGUGCACAAUGCAUUUUAUUGCAUUUAUGCUCCAUUUUCAUUAUGCUUGAAAAAAGUAACUACCCAUUCUAAAUUACAGAACUCUGACAAUAACUGGCAGACCCCAAUCGCCACUGCAACAACACGCUUUUAAUAAG